UACGUAGGUGGCAAGCGUUAUCCGGAAUUAUUGGGCGUAAAGCGCGCGUAGGCGGUUUUUUAAGUCUGAUGUGAAAGCCCCCGGCUCAACCGGGGAAGGUCAUUGGAAACUGUUUCGCUUGAGUGCAGAAGAGGAGAGUGGAAUUCCAUGUGUAGCGGUGAAAUGCGUAGAUAUAUGGAGGAACACCAGUGGCGAAGGCGACUUUCUGGUCUGCAACUGACGCUGAUGUGCGAAAGCGUGGGGAUCAAACAGG
rnacentral:rRNA from 1 species